rnacentral:rRNA from 1 species
GAUGAACGCUGGCGGCGUGCCUAAUACAUGCAAGUCGAGCGAACAGAUAAGGAGCUUGCUCCUUUGACGUUAGCGGCGGACGGGUGAGUAACACGUGGAUAACCUACCUAUAAGACUGGGAUAACUUCGGGAAACCGGAGCUAAUACCGGAUAACAUAUUGAACCGCAUGGUUCAAUAGUGAAAGGCGGCUUUGCUGUCACUUAUAGAUGGAUCCGCGCCGUAUUAGCUAGUUGGUAAGGUAACGGCUUACCAAGGCAACGAUACGUAGCCGACCGGAGAGGGUGAUCGGCCACACUGGAACUGAGACACGGUCCAGACUCCUACGGGAGGCAGCAGUAGGGAAUCUUCCGCAAUGGGCGAAAGCCUGACGGAGCAACGCCGCGUGAGUGAUGAAGGUCUUCGGAUCGUAAAACUCUGUUAUCAGGGAAGAACAAAUGUGUAAGUAACUGUGCACAUCUUGACGGUACCUGAUCAGAAAGCCACGGCUAACUACGUG